rnacentral:tRNA from 1 species
GGGGUUUUAGUUUAGUUAUUAAAAUUUGAGUUUAGCAGUCUUGGGAGAUAAACUCCAU